rnacentral:rRNA from 1 species
GAGAAGCUAAGAUGGAGACUUGGUCUAAAGGGAUUCCAUGGUGUGUGUAGCGAUGGUCGGAGUGGAGGUUUAGCGCUCUUUUGGGAUGAAUCUCUCUCAGUCACCGUUCUGGAUUCUUGUCAGCGAUACAUUGAUGUUUCAGUGGCAGAUAUUGGUGCGGGUAUAGAGUGGAGGAGUACGUUUGUUUACGGGGAACCACGAGUUGAGAACAGACAGAACAUGUGGGAUCAUCUCACCAGGCUACGGGCUACUUCCCCGGCACCUUGGUUUGUCUGUGGAGACUUCAACGAGGCGUUGUGGCAACACGAACAUCUAUCAAGGACGAUGCGGGCAGAACAUCAGAUGUCAGCCUUUCGAGACUGUCUCAUUCUAUGCGAGCUCGACGACCUUGGCUUCAGUGGUAUUCCAUACACAUAUAAUAACGGGCAGGAUGGUAACCGCAAUGUGCAAGUACGUCUUGAUCGUGCAUGUGCGGAUGAA